UCGGACCGCGGAAGUGGCGAAUCGUGCUGUUCAAAUGCCUUUAAUAAUAGCUCCCGUGACGAAUAUACAUGUUUGAUGACGGCCCAUAUUCGACGGAUCCGCUCCCUCUGCAAGUCGCUGGUGAUGUACGUGCCGCAGCUGCGUUAGCGCAACAGAACGAGCCUCAGGACCACUGCUUUAGGAAACAAUCCAAGUGUUUGUGCGGCGUCUGUGCUCCCCAGGAACCCGAUGAGUAGCUAUAUGCUGCAGUGCUGGUGAAGUGGCAGAGUUGUGCAAUGACGGCGAAGUACAGUCUACGUCAGGUUCACUGCUUAUUGUGUGUUUACAAGCUGAGUUUGGAGACCGAGAAAC